UGGCGGACGGGUGAGUAAUGUCUGGGAAACUGCCCGAUGGAGGGGGAUAACUACUGGAAACGGUAGCUAAUACCGCAUAACGUCGCAAGACCAAAGAGGGGGACCUUCGGGCCUCUUGCCAUCGGAUGUGCCCAUAUGGGAUUAGCUUGUAGGUAAGGUAACGGCUUACCUAGGCGACGAUCCCUAGCUGGUCUGAGAGGAUGAUCAGCCACACUGGGACUGAGACACGGCCCAG
rnacentral:rRNA from 1 species